rnacentral:snoRNA from 1 species
CUAUUGUGAUGAUUCUUAUAAUCAGUUCUGCUUCCGAAGGAGGGAAACCUCUUGUGGACAUCCUGAUACCAAAAACUCUCAUUCUGACAC